CCUACGGGGGGCUGCAGUGGGGAAUAUUGGACAAUGGGGGGAACCCUGAUCCAGCCAUGCCGCGUGAGUGAAGAAGGCCCUCGGGUUGUAAAGCACUUUCAGUGAGGAAGAACGCCUGGUGGUUAAUACCCAUCAGGAAAGACAUCACUCACAGAAGAAGCACCGGCUAACUCCGUGCCAGCAGCCGCGGUAAUACGGAGGGUGCGAGCGUUAAUCGGAAUUACUGGGCGUAAAGCGCGCGUAGGUGGCUUGAUAAGCCGGUUGUGAAAGCCCCGGGCUCAACCUGGGAACGGCAUCCGGAACUGUCAAGCUAGAGUGCAGGAGAGGAAGGUAGAAUUCCCGGUGUAGCGGUGAAAUGCGUAGAGAUCGGGAGGAAUACCAGUGGCGAAGGCGGCCUUCUGGACUGACACUGACACUGAGGUGCGAAAGCGUGGGUAGCAAACAGGAUUAGAUACCCUGGUAGUC
rnacentral:rRNA from 1 species